rnacentral:rRNA from 1 species
AUUGAACGCUGGCGGCAGGCCUAACACAUGCAAGUCGAGCGAGCGGCGGACGGGUGAGUAAUGUCUGGGAAACUGCCUGAUGGAGGGGGAUAACUACUGGAAACGGUAGCUAAUACCGCAUCCCAUCAGAUGUGGCCAGAUGGGAUUAGCUAGUAGGUGGGGUAACGGCUAACCUAGGCGACGGUCCCUAGCUGGUCUGAGAGGAUGACCAGACACACUGGAACUGAGACACGGUCCAGACGCCUACGUGAGGCAGCAGUGGGGAAUAUUGCACAAUGGGCGAAAGCCUGAUGCAGCCAUGCCGCGUGUGUGAAGAAGGCCUUCGGGUUGUAAAGCACUUUCAGCGGGGAGGCGUUACCCGCAGAAGAAGCACCGGCUAACUCCGUGCCAGCAGCCGCGGUAAUAC